GACAGAGGGGGCAAGCGUUGUUCGGAAUUACUGGGCGUAAAGGGCUCGUAGGCGGCCAACUAAGUCAGACGUGAAAUCCCUCGGCUUAACCGGGGAACUGCGUCUGAUACUGGAUGGCUUGAAUCCGGGAGAGGGAUGCGGAAUUCCCGGUGUAGUGGUGAAAUGCGUAGAGAUCGGGAGGAACACCCGUGGCGAAGGCGGCUCACUGGGCUGACCUUGACGCUGAGGCGCGAAGGCGUGGGGAGCGAACGGG
rnacentral:rRNA from 1 species